AAUGAAAUGAAGGCUUCCAAGAGAAAUUACCGAGUAGUCUGGAAGAGGGUUCAGAGUUUCAAGGGCUUCUCUUUAGGCAGUCAGGGAAGAGUGUUAUGAAUUGGUUUUUGGAAAUAGGAAUACAAGGUACAUUCUGGUCCUGGGAGCAGGUGUAUGGCCACGUGGAGGGCGUGCUGUUCUGCUUUUCCGGGUUCUGAGCCGGCGGCGGUCUUCCUCCAUCACUUAGAUCAGACUGGGCAGGGUGACCUGAGGGUCCCAGCCAUCUCAGGUAGCAGGGCCAGGUGGGCUGAGGAGGGACCUUCAGCAAGCCGGAUGUGGAUAAAAACACGGAACAGACUUGGCUGGGCCGCCCGUCUUCGGGAACAGGGUUCCGGUGGUGACAUCGGUGGUGACAGCCGUAUGCUCUCAGGAGUCGCGUGGCCACAUUGUAAGCGGGGUGCCCUUGAAAUCGGGUGCACAGUUGGUGUCUGGGACUCUCUUCACACUCUUCUAUUUUUUUUUUUUUUUAAAAGAAUGAUUUUAUUGGUCACGUGACGACUGGCACCGCCUCUUCCUCUCGUCCCAGAUUGAACUCGAGUUGGAAGAGGCGAGUCCGGUCUCAAAAUGGAGGUAAAACCACCGCCCCGCCGCCACCGCCUCGGGGAAGAGGGUCGUGAUCCAAAGGAACCGGAGCCGUUGAGAACCCUGUGUAUUGGUCUGAGCUUUGAAACUACAGAGAGUAGAGUUUAAGAGGACAGUUGGAGAAACGGGUCCCGCUCACGAUUGUGCGGUAAUGAGCGAGCCCCGCACAGAACGUUCCAGAGGCUGUGGGUUCGGGGCUUCCUCCCGCGGUGAAGAGGCGGACGCAGCAGGUGUGUGCUCGGCCUCUCCAGGCUGAUGGGCAUGUAGUGGGACCAAAGAGCUGUUUCUAGAGAGGAUUCUGUAAAGCCUGGGGCCUGUCCACCCGUGAAGACGUGUGUUGGUGGCAUCCAAGAAGAUACAGAAGAAUAUGAUUUGAGCGACUACUAUGAAAAAGUUCGGCAAGAUCGAGACCAUAGAUGUUUUAGAAGAUCGACAGAGUGGGGAAAAAAGAGAGGAUUUGCUUCUGUAACUUUUGAUGAUCAUGGAAAUUGAGAAGGUUUCUGAGUACCCAGCAGUGAUUGUGGAGCCAGUUCCGAGUGCCAGACUAGAGCAGGGCUAUGCAGCCCAGGUUCUGGUGUAUGACGAUGAGACUUACAUGAUGCAAGAUGUGGCAGAAGAACAAGAAGUUGAGACCGAGAAUGUGGAAACAGGGUAUGCGAUGAAUCGUCCAGGAGAAGAUGAGGCAAGAAGGCUAGCCAUUAUAGUAUGAGUUGAGAGAUGACUUCAGAAAUACCAAAGCAACGUAGUAGUAACAGGAAUGGAAGCGGGUUAUAUAAACCACACCACCGCAAGGUCUAACAAGACAUCAAUGACAGAGAGGUAGAAGACCGACACGAAAAACUGGGGAUCUGAAAAGGAGCCCCUAUCCUAGGAUUUCCUGGAGGGGAAACACAUUGAGCCAGAAGGAAGACA